rnacentral:rRNA from 1 species
UACGUAGGGGGCGAGCGUUGUCCGGAAUUACUGGGCGUAAAGAGAGCGUAGGCGGCACUACAAGUCUCAUGUGAAAUACCCGGGCUUAACUUGGGGGUUGCAUGGGAAACUGUAGAGCUUGAGUACAGGAGAGGCAAGCGGAAUUCCUAGUGUAGCGGUGAAAUGCAUAGAUAUUAGGAGGAACACCAGUGGCGAAGGCGGCUUUCUGGACUGAAACUGACGCUGAGGCACGAAAGCGUGGGGAGCGAACAGG